UACAGAGGGUGCGAGCGUUAAUCGGAAUUACUGGGCGUAAAGCGCACGUAGGCGGCUUGGUAUGUCGGGUGUGAAAUCCCCGGGCUUAACCUGGGAAUGGCAUUUGGGACUGCAAGGCUUGAGUGCGGCAGAGGAGACUAGAAUUCCUGGUGUAGCAGUGAAAUGCGUAGAUAUCAGGAGGAAUACCGAUGGCGAAGGCAGGUCUCUGGGCUGACACUGACGCUGAGGCACGAAAGCGUGGGGAUCAAACAGG
rnacentral:rRNA from 1 species